UAUGGCAGAAUAGUGCAAUGGAUUUAAGCCCCAUAAAUAAAAUUCAAAUUUUUAUUAAAA
rnacentral:tRNA from 1 species